rnacentral:rRNA from 1 species
ACUCCUACGGGAGGCAGCAGUAGGGAAUCUUCCGCAAUGGACGAAAGUCUGACGGAGCAACGCCGCGUGAGCGAAGAAGGCCUUCGGGUCGUAAAGCUCUGUUGUUAGGGAAGAACAAGUAGCGCAGUAACUGGCGUUACUGACGUCCAACGAGAGACGUC